AGCGAACGUUAGCGGCGGGCCUAACACAUGCAAGUCGAGCGAGAAAGGGGCUUCGGCCCUGAGUAAAGCGGCGGACGGGUGAGUAACACGGAGGUAAUCUUCCUUCGAGCGGGGGACAACGGUCCGAAAGGACCGCUAAUACCGCGUACGUUCCCGAGGACCCUGGUCCUUGGGAGGAAAGCUAGGUCGCAAGAUCGGGCACUCGGAGAGGAGCCUGCGUCGCAUCGGCUAGUUGGUGGGGUAAUGGCCUACCAAGGCGAAGACGCGUAGCUGGUCUGAGAGGAUGAUCAGCCACACUGGGACUGAGACACGGCCCAGACUCCUACGGGAGGCAGCAGUGGGGAAUAUUGGACAAUGGGCGCAAGCCUGAUCCAGCCACGCCGCGUGAGUGAUGAAGGCCUUCGGGUCGUAAAGCUCUGUGGGGAGGGACGAACCGCUGCACGUGCAUAGCGUGCAGCAUGACGGUACCUCCUUAGCAAGCACCGGCUAACUUCGUGCCAGCCGCCGCGGUAA
rnacentral:rRNA from 1 species